CUCGCGCGUCGCUUCGUUUCGAUCGGGUUACUCCGGUUUACUCGGUGUGACUCUCAGGGCGGGGAGGUACGUCGCUUCGAGUGGAAAAUGAAGACAUGAAGAAGUCGAUUCGUCCGUGCACUAGCGUUCUCGCCCGAUCUCGUGGCCACCCGUCGCCCUUGUCAUUCCCAUCCAAGAUGCUGCUCUUGGUGUGCCUGCAGCUCGUCAAUCUGCUCGCACCGAUCGUCGCCCAGGACGGCGGCCUCUUCUUCUCCGUGAGUCCCGCCGAUCAUUCCGUGGUCGAGGGCUUUCCGGUUCGGCUGAGGUGCGAAGCUCAUCCGAGGUCGGGGGUCAAGUACUCGUGGAAGAUCGAGGGACAGCCCCUGGCCCCCAGCCCGCGAAGACACCAAGAGGGCGGCGAUCUCGUCAUCACUAGGGUCAACCGCAUCCUGGACAGCGGGAAUUUCGUCUGCGUCGCGACGCAACAGAAGACCGGAUACUCCAUCGAGAGCUCGCCAGCCAAGAUCGACGUCCAAUGGAUCAGCGAGUCGAGCGUGCAGCUGCAGUUGCCGAAACUGCCGUCGUUGAUUCACGCUGGCGGAGAGGUGGAACUACGUUGUCACGUUGACGGUUCCGGAGACAUGCGAUACGAGUGGUUUAAAAAUACGAAGAGUGUGGUGAAAAGUGAUCGGAUUGAAAUAAAGAAGAAGAAGCUGUACAUUCACAGAGCCAGUUCCGAAGAUAAUGGAGUCUAUACGUGUUUGGCUCGUAACGAAGCUGGCUCUUCCCCAAUCAUCGAAAGUUUCCCUCUGAUGAUUUAUGCGAACGAGACUGCAAUCAUCAAGAUGGUGCCUCAGGAUUUAAUCGUGAAACGCGGCGAACCCGCUGUUAUGCAUUGCACAUACGAAGAUGCCGAUGUCGUACAGUGGUUCUUUAAAGACAUCGGUCCUUUGGAGUCAGAUGACGAAAAGGUCAUAUAUGAAAACGGUACAUUGGUUAUCAAAGAGGCGGAGCAUAAAGACCAAGGAUUUUAUUCUUGCCACGGUCUGAAGGGCGAAACUAUACAAGUCUAUUCGGCUGAAUUGCAAAUUGCCUACCUGAGGAACUUAUCCAUUGCUUCCUUCGAACCGACUCUGGUGAAUCAAUUGGCGAUCGUCGGUGAGAAUCAGGAGCUUCAGGUCAGUUGCCUGGAACCCGCGGGACUUCCGACACCAAAAGUGUAUUGGAAGGAUCCUAGAGGACACAUUAUCAGUGAUUCCGGACAAGUACGGGUCCAGGAUAAUACGUUGAUCAUCGCUAAGGCCAGAGUAGGCGAGGACGAUGGAAACUACACUUGCGUAGCGGAAAAUUCUGCCGGAGAAACGGAGAUGGAUGUACAGGUUGUCAUAUCUACGCCAGCAAUGCUGGUCAGUUCCUCGGAGUCAGUGACCAUAAUGGAGGGUGAUCCUGCCAACCUUACGUGUUCGUACGUCGGCAUGGAACCACCGAUCACGAGUAUACGUUGGUUAAAAGACGGUGAACCUUUAAAGGAAACUGGCGGGCCUACCAGACAUCGCGUUACCGAUCACCACGGAAACGUAACCCUACACUUCAAAAGCACCGAUCUCUCCGAUAAGGGAGCUUACGCAUGUGAGGUUUCCACGAAGGGUUUUGCACCUGCACUCGGCAAGGAGACGAUUUUGACCGUCAAGGAGAAACUGAAAUUCUCACCGCCCCCAGUCGAUAAGAGAUUAGAACUGGGUUCUACCAUUAAAGUGUCCUGCAAGGCCCAAGGUGCAACACCGCCCAUUGUGAAAUGGGUGAACGAGAACAAUACCGAAGAAUUUCCUAGUCACGUCCAAGAUAUUCACGGAACCCUGCAUUUUAACGGAGUCGUCGAGGAGGACAAGGGACGUUACACUUGCAUAGCGACCAAUGCGCAAGGCUCUAUAAAUCACACCAUUACCAUCGACGUUGUGAUUGCUCCAAAAUUUACAAUCCAACCGCAAAAUCCUACCGAAGCGAUCGAGGGCUAUCCAGUGAUGCUGCAUUGUGCUGCGGAUGGCGAUCCAAAGCCCACCAUUCAGUGGGAUAAAGAUUCCAAAAUGAACAAUUUGGACAGUCCAAGGUUCGAGGUGCUAUCCAAUGGCAGUCUUUAUAUUAACGAGGUACAUCUGGGAGAUGAAGGCAAAUACGGUUGCACAGCAGGAAACAGCGGAGGUCUUAAGCGAGAAGAGGUUCAACUGAUCGUGAAAGCCGGCGAUGGAUAUCGAUCCGAUAUGGACUUAGAUGCAGGCGACGACGGAUCGAUGAUGACUAAAACAGUGACGAUUACACUCGGUGCUGCUGCUGCAUACAUGGUGCUGGUCGUUGGUUUAAUGUUGUAUUGUCGAUAUCGCCGGCGCCGUAGGAAACAGCAGUAUUUGCAGGAACAAGCAGAAGAAAAAUUGGAGAAUGGGGACGUCCAGGAAGAGCAGACCGAGUUAAAGGAGACCAGUCACAAUUCGAAUAAGAAAAGAGAAGCUCGUGAUUCACACAAGAGCGAUGGCGCAGAUACGGCUCAGAGUCAAAGCAGCAGUCAAUCGAAGAAGUCCAAGUCAAAUUAUGACAAAAUAGCUGCUUCCAGGAGUAAUCUUAAAGAACUGAAGCCCCUAGGCCGAGGAGAAUUCGGUGAUAUCUUUGUAUCGAAAUAUCAGAUAGACGUUGAUAAGGAAACCUUGGUUAUGGUUAAGAGUUUAGUACACACUAAAGACGAGACCGCAUUGCAAGAAUUUAAACGACAUUUGGAUUUGUUCCACAAGUUGAAUCAUGAGAACGUGGCAAAGUUAAUCGGUCUUUGUAGGGAUGAGGAGCCUGAUUAUAUGAUCCUGGAGUACACAGAUUGGGGAGAUCUCAAGCAAUUCUUGAUUGCAUCUAGAAAGGAUAGCUCUUCCAGCCCUACUCACGAACCGAAGCCUCGUGCCCCUCAAUUGUCCGUAGCUCAAAUAUUGUCCUUGGCCAAUCAAGUGGCUCGAGGUUUAAAACAUUUGGCCGACAAUCGUCUCGUUCACAAGGAUAUAGCAACGCGAAACUGCUUAAUAGCUAGCAAUCUUACCAUCAAAAUUUCUUUGCCAUGUAUGACCAAAGAACCGUACCAUCAAGAGUACGCUAAACAUCGUAACCAAGUGAUACCACUCAGAUGGUUGCCAUACGAAGCCGUAUACGAGGAUGAGUACUCGACGAAGAGCGACGUAUAUUCUUUUUCUUGCCUCUUGUGGGAAAUCUUCCAUCAGGGCGAGUUACCUUUUAAUAAACUCAACGACGAUUCCGUACUUUCGCAACUUAAAGCGCAAACCUUGGCAUGGAAAGCACACAAAGCAGCGCCUCCUGCCUUGCAAGAGUUACAAGCAUCCUGUUGGGCUUACGAUCCUAGGGAGAGGCCUACUUUCGACGAAGUGGUUUCGAAAAUAGGUGAAAUCGUUGUAGACAGUUGUCUAUAGUUUGUUGCCUGACGAGACGAAAUCGAGAUAGUAUACUAUUAAAAGGCCAGAAAUCCAAGAACGUACGAAAUGCUACAGAACGCGAUAUUUAUUUCUUUUACUUUCGUCAAAUGCAUUUUAGAAAUUGCAAUAGAUCGAAGUUUCAUAAACGUCGCCUUCCAAGUGUCUUGCCUUUCCAGCGACACAACGCGUUUUAAACCGGUAUUAUACGUCGCGGGCAACAAACGCCUCCUGCACGGUCGGCCUAAUAACGAUGCAAAGUGUGGAUAGAAAUAAUUAAACGAAACCGCUCACGUACUAGCUACUCGUCAACCGAAUACAACGUCGAUCUAUUUUGGAGCCAUUGGAAUGCUUAAGAAUAUUAGCAAUAAGGGCAGGAUAUCGUGCAAUUCUUGUGAAAUUGAUUUCGUGAUUUCAUAAGAGAUUUUCGACUGCGAGCAAACGAAUGCUUACGGUUAGCAUACGAUUGCAAAUCAUAUUACGGUUAGCGUGGUAAACUUGAAAGGUUGGUUGCAAAAUGACGAUAACAUUAAGGAUAAUCAUACGUAACCGUCUAUUCCACGCAGUUUACGAAAAUGUUCAGUCUUCGGUUUCAUCGAUCGAAGAGAGAACGAAGUCAGUUGCGUUCUCGUGUCAUUUUUCAAUUAUUUAGGAAAGACGAAUGCUUCAUACCUCAAUAUUUAUUCCCUGUAGCACUUUCGUUAAAACAUCGUUUUCUAUUCCACUUUAAUCAUCAGUCAUUUUUAGACGGUUUUUAAACGAUGACGCCGUCAGAGUGAGGAAGCGUCGUCUAGGCUAAUCGUAAUACAGUAUUUUAUAGCGUCCACUAGAGCGAUAAGAAUAUUUAUUUGUAAUAGAAACACCGUUCCAGUGACUGCUCUCGUCGAGUAUAGAGUCUAGACAGACCCAGCAUUAGCUACGCUAUCGUAAACUUGACAGAAUAUAUAGUAUUCAGUGUCGUUAUUAAUAUUAAGAGUAAUCAUUUAACACGAAAUACUCAGAAGAGAAAUUAUCGAUACACGAUUGCCGAACGCCAUCGAACAUUUUUCAGUGAGAUAUACACUUUCCAGAGACUCAAAGACUGCUCUAUCGGUGAUCAGAAGUGCUCGACUUAUAUACGAUCCACGGAAUCAAUCGAAUCAUUACGUAUGCAGUAUGAAAGUACGAAACCAUCGGGAACUAAACGAUAACUAAUCGCCAUGUGCUGAAUCCCACAUGCGAUUUCCAAUCGAAAAAAAUUGUUUAGAAAAGAUCGGUAAUUCAUAUUUACACACGAUGGAAGGCGAAACGGUAUUUGUACGAAAACGAACACGUACGUACAUAUAUAUUGAAAUUCCGAUGCAAAGAACGGUUAACGAUCAACGAAACCGCCAUCGUUAAUCAUGUGCUGACUAGAAUUUUGCAACGCGUCAUAUAAUUUGAUAAUUCAGGUAUCGUCGAGAUCGUACGACAUAUUACGCAUUUUCUCAUGCAAAGACGAACGCAAGUAAUCCAUUGAAUCGGGGACUGCCGUUUACAACGUAUUCGUCAAAUCCAAAUGGAUCUAUUUCAGGUACAAAUAUUUAGAAUGGAAGCGAAAUCUCUGCCGUUAAUUACGAAGCGUUGAGAUAUCUGGAUACCCGAUGUAUCCUUUCGAUCGGUUCAUCGAUGUACACAACGAAAAUAAUGCCAGUUCUACACGUAGUUCUUAUCGAACUCAGUGGAACGUGUCGAUAACGAACAGCAACGUGGAUGCUAUUAAUUAUAGAACAUUAAUUCAUUUAUUACAAUGCGUCUAAUCGCAGAUCAAAGUAUCGAUAAUCGUAUGGCCUUAGCGGGGGCUAUUAAAUGUAAAUAAGGCUUAACUUCGUAUGUCUAAGCUCCUGCUUUUUGCAUGCGUGACGCGUGAUAUCGUCGAGUUAUGUGUGCUUCACGCAAGGAGUAGCUUAAUCGAUCACGGUAUCAUAUGUAUAAGUAAGGCGCGUGUACGCGGUGUAAUGCGACCACGAACAAUUUAUCCGAUUUCGCAGUGACUUACAAUAUACAUGGCCAAAAUCUUAAAGGUACAAACCAAUGGCAGUAACACUCGGUGAAACGCAUCUUAGGCAGUACUGGUAACGACAAGACCAAUCGCACACAGGAUUCCACGUCAGUCUUGUUUGGCAGUUUAAUAAUGUAAUCGUUUCCACAUAUGCAAUUUAUGCGAGAAACGGCUAACGAGUAUUUACUUUUAUAAGUAUCAGUUAAUUACAGUGUUUAACCACUUUUGCGAUUAUGUAGUGCAGUGUAGAUAAGAUCUUCAUACCACUCACGCUGGAAAUCGAUCGACGUAUACAAAUUGAAUAUUAAAAAAUAUGACAGAAAGGCAAAACCUCGGCAUGUUUAUCUAGUCACUUAUGACAAUGCGAAAUGAUGAGUGAAAGCGACUUCGUUUAUACGAUGUUCAUAUCCUAGGCAGGCAAAAACAGCUUUUCUUUAAGGUAUUCUGUAAAUAUUUGUACUUUUUUAACAAUUAUAUACCUGUGAAUUUAUUAAACAGUACGUGGUACAAUGAAAUAAAAAUGAUCCGAACAGAAUAUCAAGCAUGAAAGGUCGAUUUCUUAUCAUCAUGGCAGGAGAACGGGUGGCAACAGAUUUUUCUUUCUGAGGUCGAAUAAAGUCAAACAUUAUUCAAGUUCCUUUACCAUUU
rnacentral:misc_RNA from 1 species